GUUUCUGUAGUGUAGUGGUCAUCACGUUCGCCUCACACGCGAAAGGUCCCUGGUUCGAAACCGGGCAGAAACA